rnacentral:sRNA from 1 species
GCUGGGCUUGGGGGUGCAUGCCUGUAAUCCUAGCAGCUGAGGAGGCUGAGGCUGGAGGAUAGCAAGUUCAAGGCCAGCCCCAGUAACUUAGCAAGACCCUGUCUCAA